GACGAACGCUGGCGGCGUGCCUAAUACAUGCCAGUUGAGCGCUGAAGGUUGGUACUUGUACCAACUGGAUGAGCAGCGAACGGGUGAGUAACGCGUGGGUAAUCUGCCUUUGAGCGGGGGACAACAUUUGGAAACGAAUGCUAAUACCGCAUAAAAACUUUAAACACAAGUUUUAAGUUUGAAAGAUGCAAUUGCAUCACUCAAAGAUGAUCCCGCGUUGUAUUAGCUAGUUGGUGAGGUAAAGGCUCACCAAGGCGAUGAUACAUAGCCGACCUGAGAGGGUGAUCGGCCACAUUGGGACUGAGACACGGCCCAAACUCCUACGGGAGGCAGCAGUAGGGAAUCUUCGGCAAUGGACGAAAGUCUGACCGAGCAACGCCGCGUGAGUGAAGAAGGGUUUCGGAUCGUAAAACUCUGUUGGUAGAGAAGAACGUUGGUGAGAGUGGAAAGCUCAUCAAGUGACGGUAACUACCCAGAAAGGGACGGCUAACUACGUG
rnacentral:rRNA from 1 species